rnacentral:rRNA from 1 species
UACGUAGGUGGCAAGCGUUGUCCGGAUUUACUGGGCGUAAAGAGCGCGCAGGCGGUCGGAUCAGUCGAAUGUGAAAGCCCCCGGCUCAACUGGGGAGGGUCAUUCGAUACUGUCCGACUCGAAGGCAGGAGAGGGAAGCGGAAUUCCCGGUGUAGUGGUGAAAUGCGUAGAUAUCGGGAGGAACACCAGUGGCGAAGGCGACUUACUGGACACAUAUUGACGCUGAGGUGCGAAAGCGUGGGGAGCAAACAGG